AGAACGAACGCUGGCGGCAGGCCUAACACAUGCAAGUCGAACGAGAUCUUCGGAUCUAGUGGCGCACGGGUGAGUAACGCGUGGGAACCUGUCCUUCGGUACGGAAUAACAUCGGGAAACUGGUGCUAAUACCGUAUAUUCCCUGAGGGGGAAAGAUUUAUCGCCGAAGGAGGGGCCCGCGUAGGAUUAGCUAGUUGGUGAGGUAACGGCUCACCAAGGCGACGAUCCUUAGCUGGUCUGAGAGGAUGAUCAGCCACACUGGGACUGAGACACGGCCCAGACUCCUACGGGAGGCAGCAGUGAGGAAUUUUCGGCAAUGGGGGCAACCCUGACCGAGCAACGCCGCGUGCAGGACGAAGGUCUUCGGAUCGUAAACUGCUUUUCUGUGGGAAGAGAACGGACGGUACCACAGGAAGAAGCCCCGGCUAACUACGUGCCAGCAGCCGC
rnacentral:rRNA from 1 species